AUGUAGCAUCCUUGUUCCGGUCCUGUGAGUUAAAAGGGAAUCCAGUGUAAAUCUGGAGCUGACGCGCAGCGGUAAGGAUGUGUGGGAUGAUAGCGAAAGCAGACACUGCAUAUAUAUGUGGGAAGUCAUCAUCUUGUUGUACCUCCUAGCCCGAAGACCUGCCGGUAUUACGUCGCAUAUG
rnacentral:ncRNA from 14 species